AUACGUGACUACAUGAGAGUGUUUUGUGAUACGUGACUACAUUAUGUGUGAUACGUGACUACAUGAGUGUGUGAUACGUGACUACAUGAGUGUGUUUUGUGAUACGUGACUUCAUGAGUGUGUUUUGUGAUACGUGACUACAUGAGUGUGUGAUACGUGACUACAUGAGAGUGUUUUGUGAUACGUGACUACAUGAGUGUGUGAUACGUGACUACAUGAGAGUGUUUUGUGAUACGUGACUACAUGAGUGUGUGAUACGUGACUACAUGAGUGUGUGAUACGUGACUACAUGAGUGUGUGAUACGUGACUACGUGAGUGUGUGAUACGUGACUACAUGAGUGUGUGAUACGUGACUACAGGAGUGUGUGAUACGUGACUACAGGAGUGUGUGAUACGUGACUACAGGAGUGUGUGAUACGUGACUACAUGAGUGUGUGAUACGUGACUACGUGAGUGUGUGAUACGUGACUACGUGAGUGUGUGAUACGUGACUACGUGAGUGUGUGAUACGUGACUACGUGAGUGUGUGAUACGUGACUACAUGAGUGUGUGAUACGUGACUACAUGAGUGUGUUUUGUGAUACGUGACUUCAUGAGUGUGUUUUGUGAUACGUGACUACAUGAGUGUGUGAUACGUGACUACAUGAGAGUGUUUUGUGAUACGUGACUACAUGAGUGUGUGAUACGUGACUACAUGAGUGUGUGAUACGUGACUACGUGAGUGUGUGAUACGUGACUACAUGAGUGUGUGAUACGUGACUACAGGAGUGUGUGAUACGUGACUACAGGAGUGUGUGAUACGUGACUACAGGAGUGUGUGAUACGUGACUACAUGAGUGUGUGAUACGUGACUACGUGAGUGUGUGAUACGUGACUACGUGAGAGUGUGAUACGUGACUACGUGAGUGUGUGAUACGUGACUACGUGAGUGUGUGAUACGUGACUACGUGAGUGUGUGAUACGUGACUACGUGAGUGUUUGCCGCUGUUGUUGUUUUUUCUUUCACUAAAAUAUAAUGAAAAAUUACCUGUGAACAAAACUUUUCCUUGUAUAGAGUGAUCCUGCUCCUAGCUUUAGCUGUACUAUUUUAGGCAUAUAUUUAUAUAUCUAUAUAUAUAUAAUAUAUAUAUCUACGCAUAUUAUAUACUUAUUUAGCUUUUGGACCAUGUCACUUAGUUUGUCCAAUACUGUGUGUACAAAAGUCUGUACAUUGAAUGUCUGUAUGUCUGUAUGGUACCUUGAAGAGUCAAUCGACAAACACUGAGGCUUACAUUUGCCUUUCUAAGUCACUUACUAAGUGUGGUUUGUAGAAAUCUUUUCUUUCAAUGCAAUCUCCAGUUUGUUGUAUUAUAUCUACUCAAUGUGAUUAGUCAAUGGUUCUCACAGAUUUUUGUCCCCGACUUUGGUCGGAUCAUCCAGCCCUCUGUUCGUAGUUUUCCCUUCUCUCUCCUGUCUUUAUGCAUCAAUGUUUGGCAUCCAAAUAAAUCCUCCAUGUGCUACAAAC